rnacentral:rRNA from 1 species
AUGCAUAUGGCACAGGAUCUGGAUGAAGACGAUGGUACAUUUACCAGGGUCGAUAAGUACUUCAACGAACAUGGGUACGGUGACGAAUUUUUGGGGCCUCCUUCUCAAGAACCCUACCCUGCAAAAGACUAUCGCGAUCUAGCUGGUACCGCGGAGAAACCCAAUUGCAACAGGCGUCGUCUGGCGUUCAGUUCUCAGGAGACGCCUCCAGCUGUCGCCUUCACCGAGCCUCAGAUAGCCGAGGUGCGAAAUAUUAUCAGCCCCAACACACUCAAGAAGGUGGUCUCUGAGCAGAACUCGGUCCCAUUACAGCAGAAGAAGCAGAAGGGAUGGAAAAGAAAGAAUAACAAGGGGUGCGAGCCAGCCGGCAACGAGUACGAUCCGUGCUCAGGACGGGCCACCUUCACCUAA